rnacentral:rRNA from 1 species
UACAGAGGGGCAAGCGUUGUUCGGAAUUACUGGGCGUAAAGGGCGCGUAGGCGGCCUUCUAAGUCAGACGUGAAAUCCCCGGGCUCAACCCGGGAACUGCGUCUGAGACUGGAAGGCUUGAAUCCGGGAGAGGGAUGUGGAAUUCCAGGUGUAGCGGUGAAAUGCGUAGAUAUCUGGAGGAACACCGGUGGCGAAGGCGGCAUCCUGGACCGGUAUUGACGCUGAGGCGCGAAAGCCAGGGGAGCAAACGGGG